AUUGAACGCUGGCGGCAGGCCUAACACAUGCAAGUCGAACGGUAACAGGAAGCAGCUUGCUGCUUUGCUGACGAGUGGCGGACGGGUGAGUAAUGUCUGGGAAACUGCCCGAUGGAGGGGGAUAACUACUGGAAACGGUAGCUAAUACCGCAUAACGUCGCAAGACCAAAGAGGGGGACCUUAGGGCCCCUUGCCAUCGGAUGUGCCCAGAUGGGAUUAGCUAGUAGGUGGGGUAACGGCUCACCUAGGCGACGAUCCCUAGCUGGUCUGAGAGGAUGACCAGCCACACUGGAACUGAGGCACGGUCCAGACUCCUACGGGAGGCAGCAGUGGGGAAUAUUGCACAAUGGGCGCAAGCCUGAUGCAGCCAUGCCGCGUGUAUGAAGAAGGCCUUCGGGUUGUAAAGUACUUUCAGCGGGGAGGAAGGGAGUAAAGUUAAUACCUUUGCUCAUUGACGUUACCCGCAGAAGAAGCACCGGCUAACUCCGUG
rnacentral:rRNA from 1 species